CUCGACACCGGAAUACGACAAACUGAGGAUAAGUUGAACACGCAUCAAUGCUCAUGUAAACGGAAUCAUCACCACCUUCAUGUAUCAUAUUGGACACAGUAAGAACCGACAUUUCUCGUUGUUGGAUGGAUUCGAGGUGACUUGACUGUAUUCCCGAUCCUAAUAUGACAAGGGACGCUGUCUGGUUAAAUGUGGUCCUGUAUUUGUCCGGAAUGAACCAGAAAGAAAAGACAGAUAUGAGGGAUUAAAGACACAGCAUUGGUAUACGAUAAGCUGUGGAUCAGUGGAACCAGCAUCACUGUUCAUGUAAAUAAUUAUCUCCAGCUUGAGGAAAUUAUUAAAUAAAAGCUUUCUAUUUAAGAAAGAAACGACCAGACAACAUUGAAUUCCUGAUCUGAAGGUCACAAGGGGCGCUUUCUGGCAGCGUGUGGUCUUGGGUUGUCCGGAAUGAACCUGAAGCAAAGUUUCAUUCCAAUUGACAAACAGAUAAAGUGGUAUGCUAGAUAAACUACAUUGGAAUGCGACACCCCUGGAAUCUGCUUCCGCUGUAACACAGUUGUCUCCAUAGAGCCGUUGUUUAACUAAUUAUCUCCAUUUUGAGAAAA